CUGAACUACCCAGCUCCCUCUCGUUCUUAGACCUGGAUCACACAGGAGCAGGCUUGUCAGAAGGAGUUUUCUCCCCACUUCGGCCUCAAGGGACCUGGAAAUCAGAGCUUUGGUAUGAGAUGGUACAUUCAGGUCUCAGGGAGGUGACCUUGCUUUGAGGAUCUUUACCGGUUCACGGGAGGAGACGCGUCCUGUUGGCAAAGGGAGCAGGCCACGAUCUGCUGGGAAUCAAGGAGAGGAACCCGGGCAUCUGAGUCCUCAUCAAGUCCUUAGGCUGAGACGCCUAGUUGUCCCCAGCGUCCCGAGUGAUCACUCCUCCCUACAGUCAUGGCCUUCAAUCAAAUGAGUCAAUCUAAUAAUGGCUCCAGCAGGCAAGAUGAGAAGGAUGCAGGUAGCUUGCAGGAUAUGCUGGGCCCUCAGAUCUUGAAUCAUGUGGCCCUAGAUGACAAGAUAACUAAAUUGGUGUCAAUCUUGCUGUUGAAAUAUCAAAACAAGGAGUUUAUCACCAAGGAAGAAAUGCUGCACAGUGUCGACGAGGAUUACCAGGAGUUCUUUCCUCUGAUCUUCAGGGAAGUCUGUAAGUGUUUGCGGCUGGGAUGUGGCGUUGAUGUGAGAGAAGUGAAUCCCCCUGGCCACAUAUAUGUCCUCAUCCCUAUGUUGGGUCUCACUUAUAAUGGGAUGUUGGAUGAUGUAGAGGUCAUUCCUAAAAUUGACCUCCUGAUAGUCAUCCUGACUAUCAUUUUCAUGAAGGGCAACCGUGCUAGUGAGGAGGACAUGUGGGAAGUAGUGACAAUGAGGGAGAUGUUACCUCACUGGAAGCGCUUUCUUGUUUGGGAGCCCUGGAAGUUCAUCACUGAGGAUUUGGUACAGAAACAGUACCUGGAGUAUCGGCAGGUGCCCAAUAGUGAUCCUGCUCGCUACGAGUUCCUGUGGGGUCCGAGGACCCACGCUGAAACCAGCAAGAUGAGAAUCCUGCAGCAUUUGGCCAUGGUCUGUAGGAGAGAUCCCAGGUCUUACCCACAUCUAUAUGAAGAAGCUUUGAGAGACGAGCCAAGGGAUGCCGAAGCAUGAAAUACAGGCCACUGAGGAGACAAGGCGCAUGUCCGUCCCAUGUGAAAUGAAGUGCAUUCUUCAAUCUGUGUUUGUAGAGAGAAGUUAGCUUGCUGAUUAGUAAGAGACCAGAAGAGCAUGGAAAAUUACAGUAUAUGCAUCAUGAUGUCUAUUCUAUCUGGAUUCCUUAGAAAUUGAUAUGCAUUUUAUUUACAAAUUUCUGAACACCUGUUCCUUUCUUACAAGAUUGAAAUAGCUUUCACAUCUUAUUUGAAAAAUGAUACCAAUUUCACAUGUAUUUUUAGUGUUGUGAUAUUAAUGGUAGGUUGAUUUCUGAUGUAAUUGUGAUUUUGUGUGAUACUGAUCACACUGGAAUUUUCCUCUUUGAUUUCAAGUGUAAGAAUUUUUGCAAUGUUGUAAAACCAACUGCGAAAUCUUCCAUUUUAUAUGUGAUGUAGAACUAUACUAGAUACUAUAGAUACUAUAGCAUUGGAUUGAGAAUUUCCUUGGAAUUUUGUAAGGAUAACAAUGAAUAAUUUCUUCUUUUUUCUUUUACUUAGUAUUCUGUAUUAUUUUAGAAAAUAUAUGCAUACCUGCAUUUGCUUGGUUUCUUUAAUUAUAUUAGAGAAAUUUAUCAUCAAUAAAGAAGUCC